UAAAAUCCCGCGUAUAAUCCAUGCACAUGACCAAUUGAAUUUUCUAUUUUUUGCGCGCAGGGAGGUGCACCGUUGUUUCCUCUCUAAAUUAAUUAUUUUUCGCAACGUUGUUCGUGGACGGGUGGCCUUGAUAGAAAAACUCAACUCGGACAAGAGCAGUGUACUUAAUUAAUAAAUCAAUCGAUUCGCCUUAAAAAAUAGAUCUCGGACGUUGACCGACGCCUUGAUGAAGCCAAUAACAAUGUUGUGCAACUCGUUCGUGGGCCUACUGUAAUAUCAUAAUCGGUCACGCGUGUUAUGCACUCGUCAAAUCGUAUUGCCACCCCGGUUUUGAUAACUGUAACCUUGACUGUAUUCACUAUUGCGGCUCUACGUCAAAGGUGACAACGGGCCAAGAGUAUUUGGUUUUUAUUUGACUUGUAGCAGCUGCGCAAGGGGGGCGCGAGGUGUCAGUGACAAGGUGUAGCUAACCUUAAAAUGCGAGCAUCCGUGAUUACCGAUGUGAUAGUACUGUUCGGGCUACACUUCUUGUAUUGGUGUUGCAACACGGUUGAUGCUAGCGGUGGUGCCCUUGACUCAAGCCCGAACUUUCAGUCUGGCUCCUCCGGAAGCUCACAUUCCAAAGUUACAGCGUUUUCUGCUACUCUCACAGAUGGACUGGCACAGGCUGUGGCCCAUGAAGCUGGUUCCGAAACUUGUAACGAUGACCUAGCUUGUCUCACAAUGGCUUCUCAUGAUCGACUAGGUUUAGAAGCUAUCAAAUCGCUCCACAGUCAACUGGAUGAUGAUGCCAAUGGAAAUGUAGACCUCUCAGAAUCGGAUGAUUUCUUAAGGGAAGAGUUGCAAUAUGAAGCUGGGUAUGAAAGGAGGCAGAGGGCUUUUCAUCAUAAUGAUGAUAUGCACAUCAGUGUUCGAGAACUUUGGGAAGCCUGGUUAAGGUCAGAGGUUCAUAAUUGGACUAUAGAACAAACAUCUGAAUGGUUGUCUUCUAACGUAGAGCUUCCUCAAUAUGUUCCUACUUUUAUACAACAUCGUGUAACUGGUGCUACACUUCCGAGGUUGGCUGUGAACAAUAUGCACUACCUGAGCAAUGUAUUAGGGAUUAAAGAUCCCAUCCAUAAACAAAAGAUUGCCUUAAAAGCUAUGGAUGUAGUUCUUUUUGGACCACCAAAAGAUACUGGACAUAGCAUUAAAGAUUUGAUAUUAAUUACGUUAUUAUUUGGAGCACUUAUUGGUUGCUGGUAUGUAUACCAGCAGAAGAAAAAUUCACAGAAACACCUUCAUAGAAUGAUGAAGGAUAUGGAAAGUUUACAUAAAGCAGAAUUGGCACUUGAAGAUCUACAAAAAGAACUUGAGAGGGCACGAAUGGAACAAGAAAGUGCCACUACAGAAAAGCAAAAUUUGGAGAAACGUUUACAAGAUGAAAGUAUGGGAUUGCAUGCAUCUUAUUCCGACCUUGAAGUUUCUCAAUUAAAAGCUGAGAUAGAAAUGUUGAAAGUUGAAUUACAACGCGCAGAGGGUGAACUUGAAGACAGGUGUUGGUCCCCUCCUCCAGGAUUGCAACAUUGGUUACAAUUAACUCAUGAAAUUGAGAAUAAAGCAUAUACGAAGAAAAAAAUAUCAGCAGAAAAACAAUUACAGCAAGCCCGCGAAGCAUGCGAAAAACUACGAAAAAAACGAUCGAGCUUAGUAGGAGCAUUUGUUUCGACUCAUGGUAAAUCUAUCGACGAAGUUGACAAAAGUAUAGUCGAAGCAAGAACUGCAUUAAACGAAGUAACUGCGGAAUUGCAAGAGAGAGUAUAUCGCUGGAAACAAAUUGAACUCUUAUGUGGUUUUAAUAUUAUCAACAACAAUGGUCUAAGUUAUUUAGAAACCGUUCUCUAUAGAGGAACACCCAAUGGUCGAGGUCUCGGACUUAGAGGUCGACUCAGCAGCCAAGAUGACUUAGAUGACGAAGCAAGCUCAGUAUAUUCGCCUUCCACGUGUGGUGCCGCAGAUUCAAUCUAGUAUAUUGACAGUAGAAGUUUUAUGGUCGAAGAAUUAUAAUACUGAAUAAACCUUAAUAUCUGACAGUUCGUUAACACGACUGAAGAACUAUGAUGAUAAUUAAAAUUGGAUAUUUAUGCGUUAGACAUAUGAUUUGAUCUUGUAAAUACAUUGAUGAGGUCAACAAGCUACAGUGGAACGUUGUUAUAUUGCUGCGGACGAUUUUACGUAUUGUAUAAGUGGCGAUGUAAUGUGUUGACGAUACAGUGCACUAAUAACACGACGUAGUCACGCAACAUACAACUUAACACUCAACUAAUAGCAUAAAGGGUCGCAAUAUAACGAGAGUCUACUGUAUCGAGAUGAAACGAGCUAUAGAAGGAUAUAUCUUUGAACGAACGUAACGAAACUAUUUUUCCUAGUUGAAGCAAUAAAGAAUGAAUUUUCUGCUUUGUC
rnacentral:misc_RNA from 1 species